rnacentral:rRNA from 1 species
GCGGUUUAAUUGGACUCAACGCCGGACAACUCACCGGGGGCGACGGUUACAUGAAGGCCGGGCUGAAGACUCUGCCUGAUUUUCCGAGAGGUGGUGCAUGGCCGCCGUCAGUUCGUACCGUAAGGCGUUCUGUUAAGUCAGAUAACGAACGAGACCCUCACCCCUAAUUGCCAAGGCAUCCUCCGGGAUGCAAGCACAUUAGGGGGACCGCUAGUGCUAAACUAGAGGAAGGGGAGGUCAACGGUAGGUCAGUAUGCCCCCAAUCCCCCGGGCUACACGCGCGCUACAAAGGGCAGGACAAAGGGAUCCGACCCCGAGAGGGGAAGGAAAUCCUCAAACCUGUUCGUAGUUCGGAUUGAGAGCUGUAACUCGCUCUCAUGAAGGUGGAUUCCGUAGUAAUCGCGGGUCAACAUCCCGCGGUGAAUGCGCCCCUGCUCCUUGCACACACCGCCCGUC